GAUUUAAUAGAAGUGAUAUUUAUUUCAUGUGUCAAUAUCAAACAAUUAUGGGGCCAAUUUCAAUAAGCUUGUAUUUACUCCAGGGUGAUACUAACAUGUACUUUGGUCAUCUCCUACCUACAAUUGAAGAAUUAAUUUAUAAAUAUGAAUUAAUGACCAGUGAUCAAAUCAUUAUUUGAAAGCUGGUGACUGCCAUACUUAAUUGUAUAAAAACAAAGUUUUAAUCACUGCUGCAGUCUGCCACCCACUAUUUAAAAAAGCAUGGAUUACAAAUGAUAUAAAAAAAUAAUUGGCCCCAGAAUAUAAAGCGCCUGUUAUGACUUACAUAUCAGUGAUGAUGACAAUAAUGUUAUAGAAAAUAACCAAAUGAAAGAUAAUUUAUCUUCCUUUUUUACCUGGUCACAAAAUUUCUGAAAUUAAAAAUCAACAGUUACUGAUGAAAUAGAUAGAUAUUUGGGCUCAUCUCCAACAAAGACUUAAGAAUGUUUGCAUAAUUUACCCGCUAUCAAAAAAGUAAGAUUUGUUGAAAACUUCUUAUACUAUUAGUAGUAAUAUUACAAAAACAUUUUUACUUAGUUUUCAGGUAUUUGUGAAGUACAACACUCCACUACCUAGCAGUGAAUCAGUAGAGAGAGUGUUUAGUGUUGGUGAUGCAACAAUA